AGCUAUUUUUAGGUGCCCUCUCGACCUUUCCACCGAUGUUCUAAUAUAACCUUCCGAUUCUAUGGUUCUCCCUGGCUACGAGGCCUCACACGGGUAGAGUUCGGUAUUCCUUUGUCGAUGGCUGACCCCGCUCUUUCCUUUCACCGGUCGGUAAGUGCAUCCUAUUCCUAUUAAGCGGGGCGGCAGUUGCUAAAUAAAAAGGUGGCGCCAUUCCCGCUAAAGAAAAAGC
rnacentral:lncRNA from 1 species